UGGGGAAUAUUGCGCAAUGGGCGAAAGCCUGACGCAGCGACGCCGCGUGAGGGAUGAAGGUUUUCGGAUCGUAAACCUCUGUCAGAAGGGAAGAAACCGCACUGUGCUAAUCAGCAGUGCCUUGACGGUACCUUCAAAGGAAGCACCGGCUAACUCCGUGCCAGCAGCCGCGGUAAUACGGAGGGUGCAAGCGUUAAUCGGAAUUACUGGGCGUAAAGCGCACGUAGGCUGCUUUGUAAGUCAGGGGUGAAAUCCCACGGCUCAACCGUGGAACUGCCUUUGUUACUGCUUAGCUUGAAUCCGGGAGUGGGUGGCGGAAUUCCAGGUGUAGGAGUGAAAUCCGUAGAUAUCUGGAGGAACAUCAGUGGCGAAGGCGGCCACCUGGACCGGUAUUGACGCUGAGGUGCGAAAGCGUGGGGAGCAAACAGG
rnacentral:rRNA from 1 species